UAACAAGGAUUCCCUUAGUAACGGCGAGUGAACAGGGAGAAGCCCAGCGCUGAAUCUGGCGGUGUGACAUCGUUCAGAAAUGUAGCGUAUAGAUAUGGUUUUCAGUUUGUGCCGCAUGUUCAAAGUCCCUUUGAUAGGGGCCACAUUCCCGAGAGGGUGCGAGACCUGUGCGAGCAGUGGAGCAAGCUGUAUGAUCGUAUCUUGGAGUCGGGUUGCUUGAAAGUGCAGCCUAAAGUGGGUGAUAAACUUCAUCUAAGGCUGAAUAUAGACGCAAAUUCGAUAGCAAACAAGUACUGUGAAGGAAAGUUGCAAAGAACUUUGAAGAGAGAGUUCAAGAGAACGUGAAAUCGCUGGAGUGGAACCGGAGAGAGUUGACGUAGUCGGGUGACUAAGUUUACCAACGUCGCUUAGUUGUGACUACGGAAAAUGUAUGUUGCCUAUGACUGCGCUGACAGCACCGGCUGUGUGUUCCGAACCGUUUGCGUUGCCCACUUUGGUGGUGUCUUGCUUACGGGUAGGUUUAUCGUGGCUGGUGUUAUAUCCUGCUAGAAGGGUGUCAGUGUGAAAGUCGACCACCUCUCCGACCCGUCUUGAAACACGGACCGAGGAGUGUAACUUGUACGCGAGUCAAAGGGUGGAAAACCCCACGGCGAAAUGAAAGUAAAGGUCGGUUAACCGGCUGACAUGGGAUCCACUUUUCGAGGUGGCGCACCAUGGCCCUGUCUUGUCUGCAUGCAGAUGGGCAGCGGUAGAGCGUACAGGUUGCGACCCGAAAGA
rnacentral:rRNA from 1 species